rnacentral:lncRNA from 1 species
UGGUGAAGCUGUGAUAGAGCGAUGAAGGAAAAAGUGGUGUUGUUUGUUGUCACAAAGCGCGGAGAGGGGAGGUGAUGGCGAAACAGAGAGAGAACGCGAGAAGGAGAGAAUCUGGAACCCAUCAGCAGCUGGGUCUACACUAGAAUCGAAGAUGGCGAUGAGAUCGCCAAGAAAUCCCAAUCCCAAUCGCAAAGAAAUCCCAAUUGCAUCUGACCAAAAUCACUUUGCCUAAUUACCCUAAUUUCAAUUUUAAUUUUAACCCUAAUUUAUUACAUUUCCACGUCACAAUUAAUAAUUUUUUUUAACACAUA